rnacentral:sRNA from 1 species
AUCAGAGCGAUAAGACCAAUAUGGGUUGUCUGUGGUGUUCCCAUCCAUCGGUUGGCAAAAGCCACAGCAUAACGAGCCCAUAUGGCGCGCUCUUUU